UACGUAGGGUGCGAGCGUUGUCCGGAAUUAUUGGGCGUAAAGAGCUCGUAGGCGGUCUGUUGCGUCGGCUGUGAAAACCCGGGGCUCAACCCCGGGCCUGCAGCCGAUACGGGCAGACUAGAGUUCGGCAGGGGAGACUGGAAUUCCUGGUGCAGCGGUGAAAUGCGUAGAUAUCUGGAGGAACACCGGUGGCGAAGGCGGCAUCCUGGACCGGCAUUGACGCUGAGGCGCGAAAGCCAGGGGAGCAAACGGG
rnacentral:rRNA from 1 species